UUGAGACAGAGGACGGCUCUAAA
rnacentral:misc_RNA from 1 species